rnacentral:rRNA from 1 species
UUGGAGGGCAAGUCUGGUGCCAGCAGCCGCGGUAAUUCCAGCUCCAAUAGCGUAUAUUAAAGUUGUUGCAGUUAAAAAGCUCGUAGUUGAAUUUCGGGAUCAGAUUGUCGGUCGUGCCUCGGUACGCACUGGUAUUAUUGGUUCCUACCUUCUGAAGAACCGCGAUGUCAUUAAUUUGGUGUCGUGGGGAAUCAGGACUGUUACUUUGAAAAAAUUAGAGUGUUUAAAGCAGGCUUACGCUUGAAUACAUUAGCAUGGAAUAAUGAAAUAGGACGUUUGAUUCUAUUUUGUUGGUUUCUAGGAUUGACGUAAUGAUUAAUAGGGAUGGUUGGGGGCAUUAGUAUUCAAUUGUCAGAGGUGAAAUUCUUGGAUUUAUUGAAGACUAACUACUGCGAAAGCAUUUGCCAAGGAUGUUUUCAUUAAUCAAGAACGAAAGUUAGGGGAUCGAAGACGAUCGGAUACCGUCGUAGUCUUAACCAUAAACUAUGCCGACUAGGGAUCGGAUGAUGUUGAUUUUUUAAUGACUCAUUCGGCGCCUUACGGGAAACCAAAGUGUUUGGGUUC